CUGACUGAGUUUUCCCGGUAAUGCCUGGAUCAACGAAACGUCUUCAU
rnacentral:misc_RNA from 1 species